rnacentral:lncRNA from 1 species
UGAACAUUUAUUUCAUAUAAAAAGUUCCUAUAAACUUGAAUCGACAUGUAUGAUACAAUACAUUCAACAUAACAAACAAACAACAACAUAUACAACUGAAAACAGCAUGCACACAUAUUAAUUUAACUUUGCUGCCUAAUAGUAUGAAAAGUAAAACAUAUACAACCUGGUGAUUGUUUAUUUAUGAAAGGGAAUUCUUUUUAAAAUAUACAACCUACAGUGGAAUAUUUUUGCAAUUCUUUAUUUUUAAAAUGAAAUUCUUUGUAAAGCAUUAUAUCAGUCAUGUUAACCCAGUUUUACAGUCAGUCACACAGCAAUGAUUUUGACACUCAUGACUGAAUUUUAAUUUAGGAAAAUAUUGCAAUAUGGUAAGAAGCAUUCAAUUUUAUCUAAUGACACAAUACGGUUGUCAACUUAAAGGUGCUACUUAUGAUCAUCAAGAAGAUGGAUUUUUGACUUCAAUGAAACUGUUUACCCUCCGUGAUCACCUGAGAUUAGCUCUAGGUUUAGGUGGAGUUUGAUUAUGGUAAAUGUAGUUUACCAUUAUGUAGACUAUUGUUUAUUGCUUUCUUGGUAUCUACCCCACUUUUUUUAACUCAUUGUUUAUUUUGUAGAUGCAGAAAAUGACAAUGGACAAUGAUGAUUGAAAAGUGAAUAUGAUAAAUAAAUAUGAACACAGCACCAUAAUAAACUUAAGGGGGUUCGUGGGUCUAAAUCAUUUAUAUAGGAUUUCUCUAUAUUUUCCUAUAAAUGAACUUUAUCUUAUAGUUAAUAGAAAAAAUAGAUAAAAAAGUGGGGUCACCGUUCAUUUUCGCUCACAAUCUGCCUUCGAAAGAAGCAUACAUUUUUGUAAAGGUGUUUUUUUUCUGUUGAAGUAAUAGGAGAAAUAAAGUUAAUAUCGAAAUAAAAAAACGAAAUAGGUAUAGGUCACCGAUGAGUUAAAAAAAAAAAUCAAUUUUAAAGCCAAAAAAUGGCAUUUUUCCACAAAAGGGAGAUAAUUUGGAACUUUUUCAAUGAUGUAUACAUUUUAAAAGGCAUCUUGGGCCAACACGAAUUGAUUGUUUUGAAUGAUUUUUGUACCAUAUGAUAAAAUAACAACUACAAAAGGUAAUAAAUAAAAUUUGUAAUGAAAAACAAAUGUUUAAUUUUUUUCUGAAAUUUUUAUACCCUCGAGCCUCCUUGAUAAGCAUUCUACAUUCACUGCACAGUCGAAGUAUAAAUAUACACAUAAGAACCUCAUAAAUCAGAAAACUUAAGCAACAAAGCUUCUUAAUCAUACUCCACUAAAGACAGUUGAGGGAGGGGUUUAAUGUUUUUUUGGGAAUCUUCUUUCUAUACCAUAUCAUUCCAUUCAUUCGUCAAGUAUGUGGUUAAGGUAUUUGGUCACAAUUGCGUUGUAAGUAUCUACACUGUUAUUUCCUGUCACAUGGAUUUUUAUAUUCAUAUUCUAAAUAGUCGAAUAUAUCUUCUUCAGAAGUUAUUGGAAGAGGUUCUCCUGGAGUUCCUGU